rnacentral:ncRNA from 1 species
UAACAUGAGAGUUUGAUCCUGGCUCAGAAUCAACGCUGGCGGCGUGCCUAACACAUGCAAGUCGAACGCGACUGAGGGCUUCGGCUCUCAGUUGAGUGGCGAACGGGUGAGUAACACGUGGGUGACCUACCUUCGAGUGGGGGAUAACGUCCCGAAAGGGACGCUAAUACCGCAUAACAUCCCGCCUUUGAACAGGCGGACAUCAAAGCCGGGGAUCGCAAGACCUGGCGCUUGAAGAGGGGCCCGCGUCCGAUUAGCUAGUUGGUGAGGUAAUGGCCCACCAAGGCGACGAUCGGUAGCCGGCCUGAGAGGGCGGACGGCCACACUGGGACUGAGACACGGCCCAG